rnacentral:rRNA from 1 species
AACGAACGCUGGCGGCAGGCCUAACACAUGCAAGUCGAACGCAUCGCAAGAUGAGUGGCGCACGGGUGAGUAACACGUGGGAAUGUAUCCUUUGGUUCGGAAUAACGUCUGGAAACGGACGCUAAUACCGGAUGAGCCCUUAGGGGGAAAGAGUUAUCGCCGAAGGAGCAGCCCGCGUCUGAUUAGGUAGUUGGUGGGGUAAAGGCCUACCAAGCCGACGAUCAGUAGCUGGUCUGAGAGGAUGAUCAGCCACACUGGGACUGAGACACGGCCCAGACUCCUACGGGAGGCAGCAGUGGGGAAUAUUGGACAAUGGGCGCAAGCCUUAUCCAGCCAUGCCGCGUGAGUGAUGAAGGCCUUCGGGUUGUAAAGCUCUUUCGCACACGACGAUGAUGACGGUAGUGUGAGAAGAAGCCCCGGCUAACUUCGUGCCAGCCGCCGCCGUAAAAC